GUUGCUGUGAGCACUCCGCAUGAUCGCUCCUUUGGACGUUCGUUGGGUUCGUAGCACAUGUAAGGUUGGUGAAGACGCAUGGAAAUGUGAGCUUACAUGCCUCAAGUAAUAAGGUCCGGUGGCAAAGAUGCUGCGUUUCCGAUCCGACCCGGUUGUACAGUCGCGCAAUUCCCCAGCUGUCACCACUGUUCUAGAAGCAACAGGUGUAAAAAGCAUCGAAGUUUAUGAAGCAAUCUCUGCGCUCGAGAACCCAUUAAGAGGCGUUUGCCUACUAAAUGCAGUUGUUCGAACAUGUGUGCGGAUGCUAUACCAUGUGGGAAACAUUGGUAAGUAUUAUGUCGUUGGUAGAAAUCCAAGGACAUUCAACGCUUUCGUCGUUUGAUUGUAAUAAAGCAUUUCUUUCUUA